AUCUGCAUCCUUGCAAUGGAUACCCAUGAACGUGUGUACGUGGGGUUAUUUAAGAUCUAACUAUCAGAAAGCUUUGGUAAAGUUUGGUAAAGUUAAAAAUGGUGGGUGUAGGUCUCAGAGUUGUUUUGUAGUCUCAGGUUUGCUUCAAUCAUGAAGUUGGAAAGUUUUCCUUAGUGCUAGCUCAGAUGAAAGUACUACGCGAAGGAGUGGUCAUUAGUGACACAUUCCUAGAAGAUAUUUAAUAAUUCAUACUUGCUUCUGCCAAGCACAUUGAAAGAUCUAAUAUUUACCACCCGGAGGAGAAAGGCAAUUUUAAGAUAAUAGCAGAUCUCAAUAAACCCUCAUGAAAGCCGUACAAAUCUAAAAAAUGAGGUUUAUAGGGCUUUGUGUAAACUAAAAAUAGUUAGAUACAUGUUCACAAUUUGAGGAAUGCAGUGGAAAGUAAAAUGUUUCAGGAGAGAAGUUUAAACAAAUAUUUUAUGGGGAUUUUUGGAGUGAACCUUUGAUUUUUAUUUUUAAUUAUCUCCCUUGCUGUAUUUUGCCUUCUUUCCUUUUUUUUUUUCCCCUCUCAUCUUAAGUUGAGAGGGGAAAAGGCAGCUGGUAUAAUCCAGAAACAGAAUCACAGAAAUGCUCCAAUGCUCAUCAUGCUCCAAUGAUGGUGAGGUUUGAGGGGCUCAAAGGCGUUUGGUGCUGCUGGCUGUUUGUGUCCAGGAUGGUUCUGCUAUGAGAAAUGAUGGGAGGUGCUGGAGGGGGGAGAUGGUGUAGCCAUGAGGAACUCCUGGAACUUCUGGAUGGCCUGGCAAAUUGGCCAAAAUGGUGUAGGAGAGAGAUCCUCUGCAUUUCUGAACUCCUAUUAAAAUCUAGUGAGAUAAAGAGCUUGAUCUUGUCUGAUGCAGGAUCACUGCUACAGCAUGGCAGUUUUGGCUCUUAAAGCAGAGACAUUUAUUUGUUCUGUUUCCUUUUUAAAAAUAAUUUAAAAACCUUGAGUGAAUGUUGUGCUGUGUUGAAAGGGAGGAGAUGCAUGAGAAGUAAUGAAAGAGUAAGGAUGCUAGGGCUCUUCCCAUCAUACAGCAUGCCUUCAGAAUUAAUGCCAGAACAUCCAAUUUGGCUAAAAGGAGCUGUUUGCUCCUGCACCUAUAUAAUCCUUGGGGAGACUGGUUGCCAGAAUAAUUUACCUGGGAAUUCCUAAACAGGAUUAAGUGACUGCAGUUUGCAUUGACGCCAACAAAAAAUAAUAUUCUAAAGGUACUGAUCACCUUCCAGCAUAUGAAUUGUCACCUGCCAGUUAGGGAAGGAGGGGAAGACACCUUUAUGUAAACACCAACAGAAUAUGUCAGGUAUCUGAAGUCACAAUCCUUGUGAACUCGCGCCCAGGGUUCCUGUGUGAUGGGCUGUGUGUACUGGAAGAUGAUUCCCAUCACCAAGCCACUCGUUGGCCAGCGGCCUGUUCUCCUGACUCUCAUGAUAUGAAGCUGGUCGUGUUGAAAAUCAGUAAGUCGCAAGGUUUGGAAAGAGGAUGGGGGUUCUGCGUUUACUGGGGAAUCAAGAAAAAAAAGAAAAGGAACAGUGCUGAAUGCAGUCUUCAUUGCAAUUCAUUUGCUAAUUACAAAUUGACAUCAAUUGAAAAGUCCCAGAAGGAGGUGGUUUACAACAUAACUGUAAAACAAUUUGCAUCAGUGUAGAGGUCUGUAAAGUGCUUAUCCACAAAGGAAUGAGGUUUUAAGUGGAUUUGUUUAAUCGGGCUUAUCAUGAGCACAUAGUUGUUGGACUUUUUUUUUCCUUACUUGAAAAUUUUUCUUUCUGGAAGAUUCCCUCUUGUGUUGAGAUUAAAGAUGUCAAGGAAGCAAGUAUGGUGAAGUUUAAUGGAGAAUGAAAGUGAAACAAAUAAAAAGAAACGACCUUAACUGUGAAGUGUACUGAAGACCUAAAUGUUUUUGUCUCCAGAUUAUCAC